UAAUUGUGAGCACAACUGAAACACACAUCAAAACACUGCAUACGAAUCAUACAAACACUGCACUCAUUGCCACACAGAUGUUUAGCAAACAUAAACCAUCUGUGAAUCUCAACGCCAAAAGAUAAACCUCUUAUUAUUAUUCUCUAAGCUUAAGCAUUUAUUCCAAUCAAUUAGUGGUUAAUAAGUUGUGCAACAAAUAAGUUUAAACAAAACAUUGAAAAGCAAAUUCAAUUUCUUAUAUAUAUAUAUAUA